CUACCUGCCAGUGAGAUAUUUAACGGCCGCGGUAUUUAUAACCGUGCAAAGGUAGCAUAAUCAUUAGUUUUUUAAUUGAAGGCUUGUAUGAAAGGUUUAACAAGAGAAAUACUGUCUCUUUAAUAGAAAUUGAAUUUAACUUUUAAGUGAAAAGGCUUAAAUGAUUCAGAGGGACGAUAAGACCCUAUAAAGUUUUAUAGGAGAUAAUUUUUUACUGAUAUUUUAAAAGUUAGGAUUUAUAUUUUAUUAAGUUGGGGCAACUAAGAUAUAAUUUUAUUAUUAAUUGUUUAUAAGUAAAACAAAUAUAUUUGAAUAAAAAUUAAAUGAUCCUUUAGUUAUUUAAAGAUUAGAAGAUUAAGUUACUUUAGGGAUAACAGCGUUAUUUUUUUUGAGAGUUCUUAUCGAAAAAAUAGUUUGCGACCUCGAUGUUGAAUUAAAAGUUCCUGUAUAGUGCAGUUAUUAUAUAAGAAGGUCUGUUCGACCUUUAAUUUUUUACAUGAUUUGAGUUCAGACCGGCGUAAGCC
rnacentral:rRNA from 1 species